rnacentral:rRNA from 1 species
UACGAAGGGGGCUAGCGUUGUUCGGAAUCACUGGGCGUAAAGCGCACGUAGGCGGAUCUUUAAGUCAGAGGUGAAAUCCCAAGGCUCAACCUUGGAACUGCCUUUGAUACUGGGGAUCUUGAGUCCGGGAGAGGUGAGUGGAACUGCGAGUGUAGAGGUGAAAUUCGUGGAUAUUCGCAAGAACACCAGUGGCGAAGGCGGCUCACUGGCCCGGAACUGACGCUGAGGUGCGAAAGCGUGGGGAGCAAACAGG